rnacentral:rRNA from 1 species
ACUCCUACGGGAGGGCAGCAGUAGGGAAUCUUCCACAAUGGGCGCAAGCCUGAUGGAGCAACACCGCGUGAGUGAAGAAGGGUUUCGGCUCGUAAAGCUCUGUUGUUAAAGAAGAACACGUAUGAGAGUAACUGUUCAUACGUUGACGGUAUUUAACCAGAAAGUCACGGCUAACUACGUGCCAGCAGCCGCGGUAAUACGUAGGUGGCAAGCGUUAUCCGGAUUUAUUGGGCGUAAAGAGAGUGCAGGCGGUUUUCUAAGUCUGAUGUGAAAGCCUUCGGCUUAACCGGGAGAAGUGCAUCGGAAACUGGAUAACUUGAGUGCAGAAGAGGGUAGUGGAACUCCAUGUGUAGCGGUGGAAUGCGUAGAUAUAUGGAAGAACACCAGUGGCGAAGGCGGCUACCUGGUCUGCAACUGACGCUGAGACUCGAAAGCAUGGGUAGCGAACAGGAUUAGAUACCCUGGUAGGAUAGCG